ACACCAGCUAGUGGUAGCGCGCCAGACUUCUAAUUAUGUAAUCUGGAGGCUGUGGGUUCGAGUCCCACGUGAGGUGUU